rnacentral:ncRNA from 1 species
AAAUCACGGUUGAAACAAGAUUUAUCAUGAGAAGUCAGCAGACGCCAUAGUACCUCGUAAUGUCGACGCUAUGAGGGAAGGGC